UCUGCUGGUCCGCAGAGGCGGAAGUCUGCUUUUCUCUGUGCCAGCGGUGCCCCCGGGAUUCCCGUCUUGAGGUGAACUGUUGUGCAGUGCACAACCCCUGCUUCCUUUGUUUCCUUGGAAUCAAAACGAGCGGCUACAAGGUAUCUCUUAGAGUGGACUUGUAAGUACAGCCCGGGCCAGUGGGGAAGAGCGAGGAGGAGGAGAGUGUGCAGACCAUUUUGUCUGUUCUUGCCUUGGUGUCAGCACUCACCAAAGAAACUGACAGUCGUACAGUGAAGAGAGCGGACUGCGGUUUGCACAGGUAGCUGGCUAGUCUGCAGGUCCUGGCAUCGCCACUUACAUACUGCGGGAGGCGCCCGCUGGCCGCUGUUUGCGCGCUGGGGACGCUCAGAGGCCUGGGAUCUGCGCGCCUCGCCAGCCAUCUGUGAUGUGGCAGCGCGCUAGGCGCGCCGGGCUGCUGACUUAGCGGGUUUGGGAUCCUCCGCCUACGCUCUGGGGCGCCCUGAAGCGCGGGUAGACACAUUAGGUUUUUUUCCUUAGCUGUCGGCGCAAGGUCCUUCGAAACUCUUGGGAUUGGAGAGAUCAAGAAGGCUUUAAGGGGCGGUGUGGAGGGGCGGCAAAGAGGAAAGUUUCCCCAGGGCACGCGUGGCGGAAGCUACAGCUGGCUCCCCCAGUAAAACCUGAAAGGACAAAUUUAUCCUUACGAUGUAGACUUUUUCCUCCUAAUUCACGCUCUUGUCCUUUUUGGAUCAGGGAAUAAUUCUGUUUAGCGCGUCCCAAAACUCACUGCAUUUGUUCCACAGUACAUCCAGAACACAAAGUUAGCAGAACUUUUUUUCCAAACAGAAAUUCAGGACUUUCAGUGGAAUGCCCAAAUAGUCCAUAGAUUAGCACUACCUGUGACAGCAGGCGGAUAGCUUAAAUAGCAGGGCCCUAAAGGAUUAGUUAGGAGGUGGCCUUCCUGGGGAGGCUAAGAAUCUUUUAUGGGAGGAGUAUUUGCUUCCUGGCAUGACCAUUCUGCUGUGCCAACGGUCUACGGAAACCACUUUUUUGCCCUUUGAAUUGUGCAGCGCCCCAGGCUUUCUCUCCGUCAGCUAUUCUUUAAGCCUUGCCACUCCUGCCCAGAAACUGCUUAAAAUCUUUGCUGUCCCAGAAAGGGAACUUAUUUAGCUACCCUGUUUGGAUGUAAAUUUCCAGUUACACGACGGAGAUCUAGAGGUUUGUCAUUGUUUGACCUAGCCUGUAAUUUUCUUAUGAAUAGUGGUUUUGUUUUCCAGAAAUUGCACAAAGUAAUUGAUCCCUACUCCUCUUUCCCUUCAACUGUACCUUUCGAAUGUUUGAAUUUGCUGUUUUGAGAACCAUGUUACAUUUAUAGAUUGCAAAAAUUGCCAGUGAAAAGAUCACUUGUUUAUAACUGCGAAGGUGAAAGGACAGCUCGGUCACUUAAAGCCAUUUUAUUGUUUGUUAGACUAAACAAAGCCUUCCUUUGCUGUCUCUUUCUGUAUUCUAAACUGGAAGUAGAUAUCAUAUCCCAGCUAAAUAGGGAAAGUUUUAGAACUUUGGGAAUAGUUUGUCUAUGUAUGUAUAAUGCUGAGAAGAGUCUGCAGUGAAGAAGAUAAGAUAGAUUUCUGCAGUACAACUGUUACUCAUUUGAAAAUUCAGUUUUGUUUUUGCUCACAUAAUCUCAGUAGAGCUAUAUCAGAAACCAAGUUUUUCUGCAUGUUAUACUAAAUUUUUAGAACAAAAUCCAUAUUUGAAAUAAUCCAAACCCCAAAUUUGCUCAUCUAAAUUAUGUCUUGGCCAGCAAGUAUUACAUUAAAAGUUUGGAGACUUCCAUUUAUUUGUGUCUUUUACAGAAUUGUGUGACAGUCAUUUUUUGGACGUUUGCUUUUUCUGCUUUGGAAGAUUUAUACAAGAAUGGAGAAUGAAUAUCCAACUGGAGCACAAUUGUCAAGGCAAUAGAGAAUUUAGAGAAAUAAAAUAGCUGCAUAUCUCUAAAGAGUGCCUGAUGCUUUCUUUCUCUUUAAAAUAUUUGUUCGAAGGUAAAGUACUGAUGCAUCAAAAUUGGCCUUCACGUUUCCUUGUGACAAUAAAAUAAUAAUGGUAAUGCUACAAUAAACUGGUUUCAGUAACACAUGCAUCUUUAUUUCAAUCAAAAUCUGUAUCUAUUUGUAUUUAUUUGCAUAAUUUAAAAUUAAAAUUAAAAUACAUUUAUUAAAAGGAGACCUUUCUGUACAGGUCAGGGAUCUGACAGAGAAAUAAGUGUAGUUUUCAACAGUAAAACUGAUUCUAGAUGGGUGAUUUCUUU